GGCGCCCCGUCCCCGUCCCCCAUCCUUGGUUCCCCUCUGCUUCCCUCUGCGGCUCCUCCGAUCUGAACUCGCCGCCAGCCGCCUCCCGCCUGCUUCCGGGGUUCGUGCCUCUCCGACAGCUCGCCGUCGCCGCCUCCCCCUUGUCUCCGUGCCCCGCCCCCGCCGCGCCCUUCCCCACGUGCUGCUUCCGCGCCCGCGCGCUCCACCUGACCCACCCGCCCGGUCCUGUUCGGCGGUGUGCAGGCGUGCGCCCUGCCCUGCACUACAGAAGCAGCCAGCCUGCGGCCACCAGCUACCGGCCGGCCCUCCCACCGCCCCACGACUGAACACAGCACACAGGUGUACCACCCUGUUUUAAAUUCCUAGAUCCGGCUACCGGAGAGCGGAGCUGUGCCCGCGCGAGAUGGGGAUGGAGGAGUCCGCGGGGGGCGCCGCGAGGCAGGCCAAGGAGUCGCUGGAGCUGGCGUUCCAGAUGUCCCAGAUCCUGGACACUGGCCUCGACCGCCACACCCUCUCGCUGCUCAUGGCGCUCUGCGACCGCGGCGCCAACCCGGAGGCCCUCGCCGCCCUCGUCCGUGAGCUCUCCUCCGCCGCUCCCCUGGCCCCCGCCACCCCCACCGCGCCCGCCUCAAACGCCGUGGUGGCCCCGACCGCUCCCUCGCUGUUCCCCUCCGGCUUUCGCCAGGUCUAGGCUACUAAGGCCUUCCAUGCUGUAUGCUGAAACUGGUUCCUGAUUUGUAUUCUCAAGACUGGUAAUGCAAGGGGCAGGUGCCGAAGACUGGAUGCAACCGACGACGUUCUUGAUUUGAAGUCGGGCCAAAUCUGGUACUUGGCUUGCUGGAAGAGCCGGAUUAGCUUUGGUCAGGAGGAAGCAAAUCUUGCUCAGUAAUGCACUUGUGAUGCUGUUUCCACAAGAAAAAGUUGUGGCUCAUUGAGUUCCUGUAAAUUGGCAUAUUUCUUUGCUUGACUUGGACACGGCUGUAGUAAUCAUGAUAGCCACUACCUCUUCAUUCAUGGUCA